UACUGAAGGUAACAUUUAACAUAGAAUUAUUAUAAUUAAUAUAUAAAGAUAACAUAAAGUGUAGAUUUUCUUGCAGAGAAAAGAUAUUUUAGAUGGGCCAAAACAAAAUGAUAAGAUAUGAUAAUGAUGUCUCUGGUCUCUUAUUUGCUUUUUAUGUUAUUCCUUGUUCAUCUUCUUCAUUGCACUAGCUUCUGUAAAAAUGCCAUAACCAUGAAAGUUUCGAUCUUGAUUCUAAACAUAAACCUGAUGCAAUAAUUCAUUGAGACCUGAAGCAUGAUCCUGACGCAAUAAUUGAUUGAGACCUGAAGACUGAUUCUGUUAAGUCUUUCUAGCUGUUUCACGGUCUCAUGCUUUGUUUGUUUAUUGAUGACUGAAGUAAGCCUGUUCAAUGUCUGGAAAGCUUUUAAUUUCUGAGUGAAAUCGCAAACAUAUUAUGGGAUGAAUCUGGAUAUGUGAAAGUUGCAGAUCUGCCUACUUUAUACCAUGUUUUAGUUACUCCUGUGUUUACUUGCUUUUUUUGCUUUUUGCUAAAUAAUAUCGUAUAUAAACAAUUGGUUUUAGGUUCAAAAAGUUCUCAUGGUUCUACUGUAGUCAAUCAAUAGAGUGAAGUAAAGGUUCAGUUUUAAUAAGGAUUGAUCUUAUUCCUGGUUUGUUCCUGC
rnacentral:lncRNA from 1 species